UUCUCACUAUCCGUUAUUUCAACGGACCGUUAAACUAUCGAGUAUUAAGAAUGAAAAUAUGUGAAGCUUACACGCGAUCCUGGAGAUCCAACGGUUAUCAUCGCGUAAAAGUGAAGAAAGAAGAAAAUCAUAUCGCAAUGAAGGUCGGCGACGUAAUGACAAGGGGUGGGGAUGACGAGGGGGGGGAAAGAAAGGGAGAAGAAACGCAGACCACGUGAGCAAAUUUCGUGUGAGCCACGUGAUCGUCAUCAAGACAAUAUGAGCUGUUCGACGCAGGAAGAAAAAAUAAAUGAUGUAAAUUAUAAAACAUCAUAUCGAUCGCGAUUUCAUCGAAGAAGUUGUUCGACGUUUUUACGAUGACUUUCUUGUUACUCUUAUCGAUCCUGUUCAUGUUUAAUUACAAGCGACUAUAAUAAAAAUCGCUAACGCGACUUUCA